AAUAACCUCCAUUUCAAAUACAAUCAAACACCUAUCUGUUACAUAAACCACAAGGAAAUUAACUCCUAAGCAACUCACGUUUUGAAACGAAUUCAACAAAACAAAGCAAGUAGGCCGCUUUGGCCCACGUGCCCACGCAGGUGAUCAUGACCUGUAGGCACAGAUGGAGCACCUAUUGACGAAGGUGGGUGAUCUGUGGGCGCAGGUCAGGCCGCAGGUCACUCCGGAAUGCCUUCGAACUCUUUUUUUUACCCCCAACGACCUCUCCAAUAGCCCUUAAUCCUUCUUGUAUGUAUGUAUUGAGUCAUCCAAAACAGUCUAAUCCUUGAUGGUGUCAAGAUGGUUUGAAACACAACUAACUUCAUCAAUAAUUAUUGGAGUAUUUGUAGUUCCCAGACUUACUUUCUUGUUAAAGUCUUGAGAUGAAUUUAGCUUUCGACUUCAAGCUAUCCUUCACAUAUCAUGUUGAGCUCUCGGGAGCUUGAAGGGUCCUUCAAAUAUAUCAUUGCAUCCUUGAUAUAAUUAUGGCUUGGAUUCCUCCCUGUCGGCCUUGAAUGUCGAUUUAGCUUGUAUCAGAGUCUCUCGACCUCUCCAAAAUAGUUAUAAAAUUUAUAUAUAUUUUUACUUUUUUAAGAUUUUACUUGUGAAAUCUUACUGAAUAUAUUGUUAUUACUUAU
rnacentral:lncRNA from 1 species